GGGGAGGGGAGGGGGAAGUGAGCAGAUCAUUAGUUUCUACUAGACUUCACAAUUCUAGCAGGGAUGUUAAAUUGUUCUUUAAAUCGAGUUUUACUGUACAGGAGGAGAACAUUGGGGUUGGGAUGUCACAAAUGGAUAAAAGCAUCAGAAGGAGGUUUCCCAAGACAAAUGUCCCUUCUUAUCUGUGACAGGACCCUAGCAAUAGCCUUAGGGAAGUAGCUUGGGAGCCAGCACACUCAGUGUGUUUAUUCUGCGCACAUUAACUUAACAGGUGCUCGUUGACACUAACGAGGUAAGACACCUUGGGUGGCUGACCCCCACCAGGUCGUGGUUUUUGACAGAGGAAUCUAAUUACUUACUUUAUCAUAUGAAAUGGGAAGUAGCCAUGUCCCCUUAUUUGGCAGAAUUCAAAAUUUUACAAGUUAAUGAUUGUAAAAUUUCCUGCAGGUCUUGGUACCAUCCUGUCUAGACAAGAAACUAUUUUCUCUAUGGCCAAACAUGUUUUCUUAAUACUCAAAGUUUACCAAUGUGUCAACACAGCACUGAGAACUUUUGUUCCGCCAAUCCUGUACCAUGUCUGUGUCAUGGUCCUCACAUAGCACUGAGUCCUGGACCACAUCUAUGUCUUGACCCUCAGUUUACCUUUCUUUCCUCCCUCUUUUCUCUCCUACUGUCUCAGAUACCUUCUUUCUUUUAUUACCUCCCUUCCUUUCUUUCGAUCUCUCCUUCUCCCUCUCUCCUCCCUCCCCACCCAGUCUCCCUACUACAGAAUCCAUUUUUCUCCUCUUUUCUUUUUUUCCUUAUUGCCUCUCUUCUCCCCUUUCCAGUUUGAUCUUGUUUUGUUCUGUUUUUCCUCUUAGAGCCGCCCACAUGUGAAAAAGAGGACUUUGACCAGAAUAGAUUCAGGAUCAUACCAGUCCUCUGCGGAUUUUGGAAGAUGAGGGUAGCCCACUCUGGGAACACGUCUAUAAGUUGCUCCGAUUAACCGGCCUUGGUGAGGUUACAUAGUUCAGAAACCAGCCCCAGGCACAGGCAUGUGAAGGAAGGACAACAAAGAAAAGAAAAGGAGAUUCAGGCCCAGGCCCAGGAGCCACAGACCUGCAGAGAAGGAUGAAGCCACUGCCGUCCGAAGGCUGGCUAGAGGAACGCUCACUAGAUAGAUGACCAGGCCCGUACUGUUGCACUGUUUCCUCAGGGCAUCAUCUGGGGGACUCCUGAGCGGAAUCUGACUUGAUUUGGAAGCCAAAGAAGCCAGCGGUCGCGCAGUGAGUUUCUCGGAACUGUACUCCACAGACAUCUUUGGCGUGCUGUACCUUCAGCAGCCAGAAGAGGACGCUAGAUCUGCUGGAACCGCAGUUAUACAGACCGGUGUCUACUGAGAAUCAAAUGGAACUCAUCUGAAACAGCAGCGAGUGCCCUUAAUUGCCGAGCCAUCUCUUGAGACCCCCAGAAGUUUUGAUUUGGAUAUCUCUGUUGACUACCUUGGGUAUUCCUUGGUUAACUGACCUUGUGCUUUCCUAUCUUUUUGUCUAAUCUCUUUGUUUGAUUUUUACCGCCCCUCCCCUUGAUUUGUAAGAACAUAUUACUUAUAUGGAUACAAGUCAGUUGGCAGUUU